UAUAUAUAUAUUGAUUAACAAUAUAUGUAUUAUAUAUCAAUAUAUCUAAUUAAUCAAUGUAUAUGAAUAGCAAUGGUUAAUCUCGAAAUAUGUAUUUAACGAAAAUUACGUUCAAAACAACGAGGAUAUUCAUUUAUUAUCGAGAGUAGAUACAGCGAUGCAACUUAAUAAUUCAUCGUAAUUAAUGCAGUCGGAACAUGCAAUUUUAGGUUGACUCGGUAAUUUUCGUAAUAUUCAUAUACGUUACACAUAAAUACAUUUUUAGCUGAAAUUUUGAUACCGUUCCUGUUUUCUCGAAUCCUCUAUAAAUCUGUGCAUAAAGGGUUAUACAAAAGAAAACGGUUUUUCAGUUAUACCGGAACGAAUAUAUCUUAAAGAUGCAACAGUCGAUUGGAAGCGUUCGAAAGAGUAGAUUCUUUUGAAGCAUCGAACGAAAGCGAAGUAGAAUAGCGUAAAGCCGAGAGAACUCGAACCUCUCGAUAUGUACGGUCGAGGUCUAAGCUCGGGAUUAUCCCUCGACUACGAGUAUUAAGGAACAGGAUCGGAAAUUUGAAUCGACAUCGUGAAUUUCAGAUUUCAAAUGAACGAAUUUGAAGCCAAGAUGUUCUUGUAUCGAGAAAGUUCAAAGAUAAUGUUCCCUCUCCAACCUUCGAUAAAAGACUUCACGCGGUCUUUCGACACCAAAUUACAGGAAAAUCGAGAAUUGUCAAUUUGAAAUACGAAUCGAUUAAAACUAGUGAAAAGAAGACUCGAUUGUUAUAUCGAAGCGAUUACUAGUAAUCGCCUUUGCCGUGGGGAAAUAUGAUUGCCCUGAAGUUGGCUAAUUUUCUUUCUUUCUCAAUAUUUUAGUACCUUUUCUACGUCUCUAUCGAUAAUCUAAUCGAUAAUGGUCUCGAAUCGCAAACAAUUUCAGACGAGAAGCUGAAAUAUCGAGCUUGUUAGUCUAUCAAAUUGUUUAAUCGUUCUGUAAAUUUGAUGCGUCGCUAUGGGUUGUUGUUACGUAAUUACCAUUUCAAGAGAGUAAUAAAAGUGGUCUAUAACGUAGUUUUACGAUGCAAAUCGAUAAUAUCAGAAUGUGAACGUGAUACAGACCUGCGAAGAUUUACGGAACAUGAUAUACAUAGUUAUAACAAAUUGAGAACACGAUCUUAAUUUGCAAUUGCAAUGAUUAAUAAAGUAUAGCUAUAGGCUAUUACCAUAGAACCAUAAAUUAUAGGUUAAGAUCGGAUAAAGUAUCAAAAUCUAUCAAUUCUUAUAAUAAAACUCUUUAUAGACACUAUAUAUAUUUUUAUAAACAUUGAAUUACUAUUUUUGUUUCAUUGAAACAAAAAGAUGAAAUUUGGAAUGCGAGAGGUAAUGCGAAAGAAUUAGAAAGAUAGCCUAUUAAUAUCAGUUGUAAAAUCGAGACGCAGCGAGCGCUUCUUCUUGUUCUUAUCUUUGGCUAAAGGGAUCGACUUUUAUCGACUUUUCCAUAGUGCUCGAUUAAGCUUGAUUUUGGUUGCGUUUUCUUUUCGUGCAUUCUCGCCAAUAUUUCUUGUUUUCCUACCGACUACUUUUUCUUAUUAUUAUUAUUAUUAUUAUUAUUAUUAUUAUUAUUAUUAUUAUUAUUAUUAUUAUUAUUAUUAUUAUUAUUAUUAUUAUUAUUAUUAUUUCUUAUUAUUUCUUAUUAUUAUUUUAGUAUCGUUCUACGUUUGUAUAUUCGAUGAUCGUUCUUCUUUAUCGAUCGUCUGGUAAAUCUAAAUUAAGCUACAAUUAGAUAACGUACAGUUGAGAGGACUUUGUUAACUGUACAAGUUCGGUCACGACGUGCUCACGGUUUCGACAAAUAACGCAGUCCGUUGUAACCCUAUCGACGCUAUGGAUCGUGACUGGAACUACUAACGGUUUACUCCUCUUAACGAGCACUGAAUAAUAGCGUGAGACGAUGUAUCUUCUUUUAUAUUACUUUAUUAAAACAAAUAGUUAAAAUUACACUAGAUUUGGACAAUUUUACGUACUAGUUUGUGCACACGCAAUGUGGAAAUUGGGUCUAAUGAGAUAGCCUCUUUAGAUCUUCCAAAGAAUAGGAGUUGGAAUGUAUUUGAAAAAGAAAUUUCUGAUAAAUGUGGAAGAUGGAACACGCACAUUAAUACUGAGAGAAACGGCGAUUGUAUCGGCAAAGCGCCAUCUAAGGAGUUUGAAAGUUGAUGGUGAAAAUUUAACUGUACGAUUGCGACUACCACGACAUCUAUAUAUUUGAUGGAUUACGAUACAAAUCUGUCGUUCGUUUGCUUCGAUGCGCGACAAACUUGGAAAGUAACUACAUAUUUGUUUCUACUUCUUACUUGAACUUCUUGAUUCUAUAAAAAUUUUCAAUAUCUUUGCUACACGUCGGAGAUAGAAGUUUGCCCGUUUCAAAACAAACGUGUUGAAAAGUUGCACGUAAUAUAAAACGUGUCUAGGAAAGAUAAACGCAAGUUGUUCGGUGCAACGUUAACCUAAAAGCAGCGUUAUCGGUACAUGUAGGAUCUGUCGGUUCAAUCUUAAAAAUCCGAAUUACGUACCAAUGAAAGCGUCGAUUCAAUUUUAAUAAAAACAGUGCUUCUCUUUUUAUUUUCUUUCCUUUCAUGUCCAUAUAUCUACGAUCUUACGUUUUUCGAUAUAAGAAAAUUCGGGUUUCGACUAAAACCAGUGGAUAGGAAAUUGUUGUCGAAAAAGUCUAGCGAACCGUAUCAUUGAAUGUUAGAAAGCUAUUAAAAGACGCAUCAAAGCUUUAGAUAUAAAAAAAAGUUGUAAUUCGAUAAGAGUCAAAAUUUGUUCAUUCUUUGAGAAGCUCGGUUAGCUGCGAUUUUUAUCACACAAUAUAUUUUGCAAAUGGAUGUCGUAGCUAUGGUUAAAGAUAAAAUUCGAUUUACGCCAAAAGAUUCUGAGAAAUUACGUAAUUUAAAUUUCAGCUGCUAGAUAUUUGGAAAAAUGGAAAAUCUUAGUUUUAACUUUUUAAAACUAAGCAACUGCGUAUUUUGCAAACUUCUUAUCCAGAACUAAAUGGAGAAUACAGCUCUAUAUAUUCAAGCAACUUUUAAGCAAAUAUCGUUGAUAAAACAAGGCAAAUUUCACCUCAGUUCUACGUAAAUAAUGCAUGCUUCCUGGACAAAGUUUUCUCUGCUGAACUGGGAGAACUUUAUAGAUUUAUAUUCCCGUUACCACGACUGCAGUUUUUGAAACUUUCUCGCGCAUACGCUUUGCGAUUUUUUCUUUCCCCUUGCUCCUUUUAAAUCGUGGAAUCGAAAAUAAUUCGUAUCGAACUACGUGAGUCUAAUUUCUAAAUUGAUCACUCGUAUAUCGCACGUUUAGCGCAUAUUUUCUCUUACAACGACGACUAAUCGAUUAUUAAUCCCUAAGUAAGAAAUACAUUCGUCGCUGAUUCUCUUCGUUGGACCGUGCACUUAUUGCGAUGUGUGUAACUUCGUGUGGUACACUUGAUCAGCCGAGUAGUAGUGUCACAUGUAUGAGUAUGAAUAUGUGUGGUAGUACGUGCGUGCGCAGCGUCUCGUAAAACAGAAGAAUGCAACUGUUCCGUUCGCAUGGUGUUAAGGAAGAUGGUGAGACAAAAGGAGUGCUGAGACGUAUGCAAUGUGUAUCUACGAAUAUCUUGUAAAUCACAUAUUAAAUAAAUCUGAAACUAUUUUAAAAUCAUUUCUACAUGUAA